GGGUGAUCUGCCCUGCACUUCGGGAUAAGCCUGGGAAACUGGGUCUAAUACCGGAUAUGACCUCCUAUCGCAUGGUGGGUGGUGGAAAGAUUUAUCGGUGCAGGAUGGGCCCGCGGCCUAUCAGCUUGUUGGUGGGGUAAUGGCCUACCAAGGCGACGACGGGUAGCCGACCUGAGAGGGUGACCGGCCACACUGGGACUGAGACACGGCCCAGACUCCUACGGGAGGCAGCAGUGGGGAAUAUUGCACAAUGGGCGAAAGCCUGAUGCAACGACGCCGCGUGAGGGACGACGGCCUUCGGGUUGUAAACCUCUUUCAGCAGGGACGAAGCGCAAGUGACGGUACCUGCAGAAGAAGCACCGGCUAACUACGUGCCAGCAGCCGCGGUAAUACGUAGGUGCAAGCGUGUCCGGAAUUACUGGGCGUAAAGAGUUCGUAGGCGGUUUGUCACGUCGUUUGUGAAAACUCACAGCUCAACUGUGAGCCUGCAGGCGAUACGGGCAGACUUGAGUACUGCAGGGGAGACUGGAAUUCCUGGUGUAGCGGUGAAAUGCGCAGAUAUCAGGAGGAACACCGGUGGCGAAGGCGGGUCUCUGGGCAGUAACUGACGCUGAGGAACGAAAGCGUGGGU
rnacentral:rRNA from 1 species